AAAAACAAACAAGUGCACAGCGGUCCAGGGUAAGAUCUUUGGACCCGUAAUUUUGCAAGCAGUAAUUUCCUUUCAAAUACGAGCACCAGGGAGUGAAAGUGAAUUUUCUCUGCACUGUAAACUUCUCCCUUGUUUUUUGUGGGGGCAAUGGGGGGAGAAGGAAGUGAACAACAGCAGAAGGAGCAAAUCUAUACUGUUGGAUCUUUUCUUAUCAGGAAAGUUCACAUAGUGUCUAAAACACUGCACAAAACAUAUCUUUCUUACCAGACACCAUGUACACCCCGUACAAAUGAAAGAGACUGCAGUGUGCAGUCUGAUAACAGAAAUCCUUACAAUGAAAGGUGUAGCACUCUUCUGCCUUUUUUGAUAUUUGCCUUGUUUGGUUAACACAAAAUUGUAAGUUAUUCACAUUAGGACUGUGCUAUGACUGAAAAUUUGAAACCUAUCUUAAUUGUUUGUAUUGUGGCAGAAAGUAAAUUUCUACCAAAAUUUUACCUUUUCUUGGGCCUAACCAACACUAACAGAGUUCAGCUUUGAUAUUUUGAUGUGUUUUGAAGAUAAACCCCUGAGUAAGCAAAAUUUUAUCUUCCCAUAUAUAAAAUAAAAAGUUUGAAAAUCUCUUAGUAGCGUUUGUCAUCUUAUCAGACUCCCAUGUUAGCAUGAUUCUGAUCAUUUGCAAAACAGAUACUGGUCUCUGCUGAUAUUAAUUAUAAUUCUGCUGAUCAUCCAGUCAUUAGCAAAUCUCUUUCAGCUUAGUCAGCAUCUCCACAAUGACUCACUGCAAGUAGUAUAUUGACUCAGUAGGAAGUGAACUCAUCAUCUUGGUCAGGGGAGAUCUGACAAAAAAUCUAGCAGCAAAUUUUGUUUUUACCUUUCCUUGUAGCCUUUUCCCCAACCUCACUCGCAUUAUGACUUACCAAUAACUGGAAACUUUUCUGUUAUAGAAUGAAGAUACGUCUGUACUUUUACUCCUGUUUUCUAUACAUGUUUUUUAUUUAAUUUACUUAAUUGCGUGACAUCAGUACAUCAGUUCUGCUCUUCAGACUUUUACCAACAGGUGUCAGCAGAACCUCAGUCUUGUGCUACGGUGAGCGUGUGCUGAGGUGUACGCAUAACUCCAGUUUCGGGGGAAUGUGACUCUCAAACUGUCUGCCCUGAUGGGUUUCUAUUUUGGAAGCACUGACUCAAGAGCCUAAGUCCUGUUGAUUUUCAGUGAUCCUUUGAUUCCUAAAUUAUGUUCAUCUAGCCUACACAUUAAUUAUAAUCCUUUUGUACUGUUUAUAGGUAAUUAAAGGAUUGCUCAUUUUUGAUCUGAUUUAUGAAGUGGCUUACAUAAUAAAAUAUGGUUUUAUUAUCUCAGUCACAGAAACUUCUACAUGGCACAGGUCUGAUCAACAUUUGAAAGUGCUAUCAAGCAAAACAAUAUUUCACUGUGGCAAACUUCUCUGUAUGCCGUGGGACAGGAUGGGUUCAUUGAAGUCAGUGUGACACUGCAGAAUCCUCCUCUGGCUUGUCCUCGUAUUGCAGACUCUGUGCAAUUCAGAUGUGGACCAGGGCAUCACUGUGCCAUUUUCCAUAUGGGGCCAGGUGGUAGAGAUGCUCCAUGCAUUUAUGAUCUACUACUUUCAAUCAAAGUGAAGAACACAAGACAACAGAGGGCCUCAAGAGUCCUAGACUGAAGGUGCUGGACAAGCUCAAGGGCCAAGGAACAGAACAGCCAGUGAUGUUAACCACAGUGACUGAAAAAAGCAGUAGCAAGGAGAGCGUAGAAGACAGAUUAAGAGCUCUGGUGAGCCAUACUGAGCUUGAGCCGAUGGCGAGACAUUCAGAGAGAAGCAGACUGAGCUUUGGGCUUGGAGCAGACGGCUGGAUUUGAGUCAUCAGUGUGAGCAGUUGGGCUUGUGUGUACAGACGACCUUCCCCAGAAGGGAGGUGCCCUUUCCAGUGGGAGGAGGGAAGCCAACCAAGACCAGA